GAUGAACGCUGGCGGCGUGCCUAAUACAUGCAAGUAGAACGCUGAAGCUUGGUGCUUGCACCGAGCGGAUGAGUUGCGAACGGGUGAGUAACGCGUAGGUAACCUGCCUCUUAGCGGGGGAUAACUAUUGGAAACGAUAGCUAAUACCGCAUAAAAGUCGAUAUCGCAUGAUAUUGAUUUGAAAGGUGCAAUUGCAUCACUAAGAGAUGGACCUGCGUUGUAUUAGCUAGUUGGUGAGGUAACGGCUCACCAAGGCAACGAUACAUAGCCGACCUGAGAGGGUGAUCGGCCACACUGGGACUGAGACACGGCCCAGACUCCUACGGGAGGCAGCAGUAGGGAAUCUUCGGCAAUGGGGGCAACCCUGACCGAGCAACGCCGCGUGAGUGAAGAAGGUUUUCGGAUCGUAAAGCUCUGUUGUAAGAGAAGAACGAGUGUGAGAGUGGAAAGUUCACACUGUGACGGUAACUUACCAGAAAGGGACGGCUAACUACGUGCCAGCAGCCGCGGUAAUACGUAGGUCCCGAGCGUUAUCCGGAUUUAUUGGGCGUAAAGCGAGCGCAGGCGGUUAGAUAAGUCUGAAGUUAAAGGCUGUGGCUUAACCAUAGUACGCUUUGGAAACUGUUUAACUUGAGUGCAGAAGGGGAGAGUGGAAUUCCAUGUGUAGCGGUGAAAUGCGUAGAUAUAUGGAGGAACACCGGUGGCGAAAGCGGCUCUCUGGUCUGUAACUGACGCUGAGGCUCGAAAGCGUGGGGAGCAAACAGG
rnacentral:rRNA from 1 species